rnacentral:pre_miRNA from 1 species
UCUCUGGCAACGUACUUCUUUACAUCACCGCACGGGGUUAAAGAUGUGGAAUGUAAAGAAGUAUGUAGCCUAGAG